rnacentral:rRNA from 1 species
UACAGAGGUCCCAAGCGUUGUUCGGAUUCAUUGGGCGUAAAGGGUGCGUAGGCGGCGCGGUAAGUCGGGUGUGAAAUCUCGGGGCUUAACUCCGAAACUGCAUUCGAUACUGCCGUGCUUGAGGACUGGAGAGGAGACUGGAAUUUACGGUGUAGCGGUGAAAUGCGUAGAUAUCAGGAGGAACACCGGUGGCGAAGGCGGAUCUCUGGGCCAUUACUGACGCUGAGGAGCGAAAGCGUGGGGAGCGAACAGG